rnacentral:rRNA from 1 species
GACGGAGGAUGCAAGCGUUAUCCGGAAUGAUUGGGCGUAAAGCGUCCGCAGGUGGCAGUUCAAGUCUGCUGUCAAAGACCGGGGCUUAACUUCGGAAAGGCAGUGGAAACUGAACAGCUAGAGUAUGGUAGGGGCAGAGGGAAUUCCUGGUGUAGCGGUGAAAUGCGUAGAGAUCAGGAAGAACAUCGGUGGCGAAGGCGCUCUGCUAGGCCGCAACUGACACUGAGGGACGAAAGCUAGGGGAGCGAAUGGG